CCUACGGGCGGCUGCAGUAGGGAAUCUUCCACAAUGGGCGAAAGCCUGAUGGAGCAACGCCGCGUGGGUGAAGAAGGUCUUCGGAGCGUAAAACCCUGUUGUUAGAGAAGAAAGUGCGUGAGAGUAACUGUUCACGUUUCGACGGUAUCUAACCAGAAAGCCACGGCUAACUACGUGCCAGCAGCCGCGGUAAUACGUAGGUGGCAAGCUUUAUCCGGAUUUAUUGGGCGUAAAGGGAACGCAGGCGGUCUUUUAAGUCUGAUGUGAAAGCCUUCGGCUUAACCGGAGUAGUGCAUUGGAAACUGGGAGACUGGAGUGCAGAAGAGGAGAGUGGAACUCCAUGUGUAGCGGUGAAAUGUGUAGAUAUAUGGAAGAACACCAGUGGCGAAAGCGGCUCUCUGGUCCGUAACUGACGCUGAGGUUCGAAAGCGUGGGUAGCAAACAGGAUUAGUUACCCCUGUAGUC
rnacentral:rRNA from 1 species